AAUAAAAUGAACAGCGUAUAUUAAUUCAUAUAAUUCAUAUUUAAACACUGCGUGGUUGGCCAACAGUGUGCUUGUGUAUGUGCGCUUUACGCACGACAUCAUUGCAAACUGCCCAUUCUAUUCGGACAGUGGACUGAAUAUCGCACAAAGAGGGCAAAUCAGGAUAGAGGCUUGAAGAGUUAAUGAUCACCCGUGUCUUUUGGGAGAAGAUGAUGUAAACCCUCUACAUCAUGUGACACUUUAAUAAAUAAUAGCCCACAGCACACAGAAACAAACCCAUUGAGGAAUUGAUCAGAACAGAUAGGCAGAUCGCCGUCCAGACGAAGAAGGUGGAAGGUACACGGACGGCUGGAUAUUUUAUUUCAAAGAGGGGGGAAUAUGUGCUGCUUGCCAUUAGAUCACGCGCUGCCAGUGAUUCGCGGAACAGUUUCUGUGUACAGAUCUACACCAUGCACGGCGACGCUCGCAUCCCGCCUGAGGCGCAUCGGAGACCAGUUCGACAAAAAGCGCAUGACAAGAGAAAAAGGAAGUAUGGGGAACGAUCGGGGCAGAGAGCGAGCCUUUAAUCACUUUCACCUAAUGUGCACUGCAAUACAGGUAGCACUGGUCAUCAUGUAUGUCAGAAAGCGACUGUAAACGUAAUAGUGCAACCUAAGCAUCCUCUGGAGCCAGCAACAGAUGUGCCUGAAAUCACGAGGAAUCGCGCAGGCGGCUGUUGACUGUUUACAUAAGAGUAAAUGUGGCGCGCCACAUGGGCGCAUCUCAGACAGACAGGAUUGCCCUGGGUCGUGGCGCACGGGGUGGACGUCUGCCUUUGAUCAUGUACUCUGGCAGGACGAGCAUCGCCGAUUUUUUGUUUUAGACGCCAGAAUAACUGCUGGGCAUCCGUCAUCUGAUGUCUGUCUCCCCCUCACUGUCGUGUUGUAACUGUCACUGGAGGCAAGCAUGAUCGAUUCCGUUUCGUUGAAUAGGUCGUUGCAAAUCAAGUGGUGUGUUGAAUUAUACACAAGAGAGACUAAAUAUAUACAAAGCUGAGGUCAUGCUCCCUUGGUGUUUGCAAAGGGGAAAAUCUGACAAACAUUUCUCAAGCUUCCCUUAUUUACUGUCCACUGCUGAAAAAAGAUGUUUAUAUCCAAUGCUACACGUUAAGUGCACUAUUAUGACUUCAUUGACGGAAUAAGCUGGAAAGAGAAGCUGAAUGAAGGUUUUAGGACCAUGUGUAAGACAUGGAUGAAAAGCUUUCAUUUGCACAAUGAAUGCACUGAAAUGUUUUGAUAAGCAAUCACAAUGGCUCUGCCGGUUCAUUCUCCACAAUAUAACAACCAAUGACUUUUGGUGUGAUGUUUCUGUACUGUUGGUUUGAUUUGUAUGAUAGGUUUUUAAAAGAUGAAUUUUGAUAAACAUUUUCAGAAAUGUUUUCUAGAAGUUUUCUCUAAAGGGCUUUGGAAACUUUUGUGCCAGUGUUUCAAACUGUGCAGCAAAUGGCAUGCCAAUGUUUACAUAAUGCUUUUAUAAAAAUGUGCAACUGUGUCGUUUUUCCAGUUAACUGUACCUUUGACCAUGUAAAAGCUGUUUAUAUUAUUAGAUACACUGGACAAGACUGUUACACUUGAUACCUGCCAUUUUUAUUAUUUACAAUGUUUAGAGUAGCUGAAAUCAUAGACAAUGAUGCUUUUAAAUAAAAGUACUGAUAACAUUCACAUAACGUGUUCACGUUUUCCACUUUUUGAACGAGUUACAAACACAACAUUUCUGUGCAACAAUGCAAUUAAUGUGUACAGUAAUAUGCACAUUAUGCAGAGAGUAGUAUGACAGACUGGUAUAAUGUAACUGGUGGUUACAGUAUAACCAUUCACUUAUAGUUACUUGGGCACAACCUCUGGUGCUGAACAAAAAAGUAACGUUUUGUGGAAAAAAGGUUUGCACACUCCUUUUUGGAUUUUUUCUUC